rnacentral:rRNA from 1 species
AUUGAACGCUGGCGGCAGGCCUAACACAUGCAAGUCGAGCGAGCGGCGGACGGGUGAGCAAUGUAUGGGGACUGCCCGAUAGAGGGGGAUAACUACUGGAAACUAUGGCUAAUACCGCAUACUUUCGCCUAACCCAUAUGGGAUUAGCUAGUAGGUGGGGUAAAGGCUCACCUAGGCGACGAUCUCUAGCUGGUCUGAGAGGAUGAUCAGCCACAUUGGGACUGGGCUACGGCCCAGGCUCCUACGGAGGGAGCAGUGGGGGUUAUGGCACAAUGGGCGAACGCCUGAUGCAGCGACGCUGCGUUGGGGAUGAAGGCUUUCGGGUUGUAAACCUCUUUCGCUAUCGAACGGGUAGGUGGAGAAGAAGCGCCGGCUAACUACGUGCCAGCAGCCGCGGUAAUAC